CAGAACCAAGAGAUCCGUUGUUGAAAGUUGUAAUUAAUUACGUUGUUACUGACGCUGAUUGCUAUUGCAAAAGGUUUGUGGUUGGUCCUGAGGGCGGGCGAGCCCACCCAGGAAACAAGAAGUACGCAAAAGACACGGGUGAAUAAUUCAGCAGGGCCGGCCCCGCCGCGCACGCCGUGAAGCAGUGCCCAGCGGGGGGUGUCCAGCCCGCCUUGUUAUUGUGUAAUGAUCCCU
rnacentral:misc_RNA from 1 species